rnacentral:lncRNA from 1 species
UCCCGACUAGGUGUAGAUCAUUUGCACCACUUGCUCACCUACCCAAGGGCCAAGUGGUAUAGACCAGCCAGCUAAUCAGCCCAAAAGUACUUUAUAGUGGCAGUACAAGUAAAUAGCUGAUGAGUCACUAUCCUUCAAAACUGCAUUCGGGCAAUAUUAUUGCUACAGGAGGCCAAGCCAAGGUGUCUAUAAAAGGAGAAAGAGAAAUCAGACUCAAGGCCACUCAAACAAACCAACAAAUACAAGCACAAACUCUGCUCAAAGCCAGAUUUGCCUUCAAAACGAAGCUGUACUCAGCCUAAGCCUUCAUCCCUUUCGGGAUAAACCCUUUGUAAUAGCUCUGCUACCCUGUUCAACUCUUGCUGUAGUAUCGAUUUCUUUCUGUAAACUCACCUCCCAACCCCUUUUCUAAGCUUUCAAACCUCCUGAUAAACCACAAAGAUAGGAAGUUGCAAGACGAUCAGCCUUGCCUGACAAGGUUAAACCUUGCCCGACCCUCUUUGUUUUUGUCUUUUCAUUCAUUAGCCUAGCAAUAUGUUGUAUACUACAAGUUGUAUCCAAGUUAUUUCUAGUAAUAUGGCUAUUAAAAGACUCUCUCAGCGUUUGAAUCCGAUUUGAAUAUGUCUUCACAGUUCAAGCCAUAUCUAAGUUCUAAGCCCUCGGGCAUGUAAGAUUUGAUCACUCAAAAAGUCAUUGGCCUCAAAGCAUAAAAAAAAACCUGAUGUGGACUUAACCCAUCCACGACAAGCUUUGAUAACAAGAAGUUCGAAGUUACUUGAGGCGCAAGUAAUCGACCUGUCACUUAGUUUUAUUUCUAUUAUAUUAUGAUUACCAUAGAACGUUCGAGUACGAAAUGAAUUCUGAUGGGAAGCCUCAAGGCCUAUCUAAGGCCCUACAAAGGCACCUAUUUGGAUUCAUCCUGUUUCUUGGGCUAGAACAUUGAGUAUAGAAGGAGUUCUGAUGGGAAGCCUCAAGGCCUAUCUAAGGCCCUACAAAGGCACCUAUUUGGAUUCAUUCUGCUCUUCGGGCUCAGGUAAUCAGAAGUAUAAUGGUUAUAAGACUCAGAUAACCAAGAAAAUGAACCUUAUGUAUUCGAGUACUACGUUAGUUAUUAACGGGAAGCCUCAAGGUCUACACCUAAGGCCUCACAAAGGCACCUGUCAAUAACUAACAUAGUCUCUCGAAUAUAUAUAUAAUUAAAACCCAACAUCCGUUUUACGUCUGCCAUGUUGAAGAUGGCAGUGGCACGCCUGAGCACUUAAAAGUUAAUCUUGAUUGUGAGCCUCAAGGCCUACACCUAAGGCCCCAUAAAGGCACCUUUCAAAGUUAACUUUGUCCUUCUCUUUCAGCCUUGCCUGACAAGCCGCUAGUAAAGCAGAAGCCCGACAGAAAGCAUCAACCGGCGCCGACCUCUCGGGAAGCUGUGUGCUCGUCGGCUAGGAAGCAUCCCCGACGGAAAUUCCUGCCACGAACAUAGUUUUGGCACGCCCUGUGGGAUUUCAUUUGUGUGGAUCUUGCAUGUCCAAGAAGAAAGGCCAUAAACUUUGCAGAAAAAAUACGAAGGACGGUUCUUCUCAACUUUUGCUACUAAUGACAGAUCAAUCGGGAAAUCCUUCUUCCCCAUCAGGACAGGUGGUCCUAGAAAGCCUAUCUUCAUCCGGGAAGUCGGAAGGGAAAGGAACUAAUGAGGAAUUAUAGGCUACUAUGAUACAAGUAUUGAGAAGUAUGGAAAAAAUCUCUUUGGAGACCAAGAGGGAAGUCAGUAGACUGUGUACCUUAACAGGGAAUUUACAGAGAAGGUUAGAUCUGGAGUUUUCCAUUCCAAAAGGCGCUCAAGGGAGUGGGAUGAGCCAGGUUACCAUCAGAAGUGAACCGGUCAUUCCCCUAUUUCCACUAUUAGAAGAAGAAACAGAUAGGGGAAAGAAGAAAGCAGUUCCUGAAGGAAGUCAACCCGUGAUAUAGCCGGUCCUGGGGAAAGAGUUUCCUAGCUUCCCAUUAUUAUCAUUUAAUAACAGGAAGCAAAGCGAGCGGGAAAGGACAAAGUAUGGGAUGCCCAUAGUAACAGGAGAGUCCAGCCAAAAAGAAAGUUCCGCAGCUUCGGACAAACCUUUUCCUUAUAGGCCACCCCCAUUGGCUCAUAAGGAAGGGGGAACCAACUGGAGAAAGCCUGAAUCAAAGAAAGAAGCAUUCACAGGCAAUGACCGAAGCCCGAAGAACGAGUCCGCCCUUCUCUUCCAGAAUAAUACAGCUACUCAACAACUAAGGGAUGAGUUGGCUGAAUUAAGGGACGCAAUGGUUCAAAAUGCUCAACCACGAGCUCGCCCAGUGUUCAGGAUUACUUAUCAAAAGCCUUAUCCUGAAUACAUUGAUGAGCAGAAUCCAUUUCCUCUCAACUUCAAGAUGCUCGCAUUCCUAACAUUCACAGGUGAAGAUAGCAGUGUGUCCUCCAGAGAUUACAUUUUCAAAUUCUCUAAUCACUGUGUGGCAUAUGAAGACAACUCAAACUACAAGUUAAGGUUGUUUGGGAAUUUGUUGGCAGGACUUGCAUCCCAGUGGUAAUCUCUAUUACCCCCUAACUCUAUUGCCAACUGGGGGCAAAUGGAUAUGGCUUUUCAUGAACAAUUUUACAGAAUAGAACCAGAAAUGACUAUUAAUGAUCUGGUUGAAGUCAAACAAUAUGAGCAUGAGUCCACAAAAGACUUCAUGAUGAGGUUCAGGAAGAUAAGGAUGAGGUGCUAAUUCCUUGUUAACCAAGCUUAGCUCAUAUCAAUUGCUCAAAGGGCUCUGAGAUUACCUUUGAGGAAAAGAUUUUAUGAUACACAAUUUAACGAGCUACAGGAAUUAGUCAUUGCUGCCACAAAAUAUGAAAGGCUAUUGCUAGAAGAACAGCAAGUGAAGCAUACUUCCAGAACUCCUCCCUUCUACAAAAACAAAGCUGCAAUUCAUCAUGUGGAGGUAGGAGAAAUUGGGCCAGAGCAGGAGGAUGACCAUGAUAGAGAGGAAAUCGAGGUAUGUGCUACUGAGAUGACUACGCCUUUUAAACCAUUGACGGUGAAAGGAUUAGUUCAACCCAUCAAGGACCAGAAGAUUGUGAUGAACGAUGGAGGCUUUGUUCCGAUGAAACCUCCCAAGUACCAGAGCUAUUCGUUCGAUUUGGCCAAAGCACCUGAGAUUUAUGAAGAGCUGGUGCGGGCAAGAGUGAUUGUGCCCGACAGUACGAAAAAGAUACCCAAACCAGAAGAGUUGAAGGGAAAGAAGUAUUGCAAGUUACACUAUACCUUCUACCAUUCUAUAACCAAUUGUGUCCAGUUCAGAGACUGGAUACAAGACUUUAUAGUGAAGGGAAAGUUGUUACUUGACAAGCCACAAGCUAGUAUGAUGGUUGAUACCAAUCCUUUCCCGGAAGCUCCUAUCAAUGCGAUCCAUCUAGUUUAGAUGGAGAAGCCAGUGUCAUCAAUUGUUAUGACAGAUGGGAAAAAUGGAUCUCAGGUUGUCACAACACCCUCGCUCAAAUAAAGAAGAAAGUAAACAAGGGGGCAAAGAGUUGCCCGAAAGAAGUUCAGACAAGGGCCAGAAGCAAAGCAAGCAAAAGACAAGUACAUGUUCAUUCCAUUAAAAGAGGGAUUACAAGUAAUCCUAGUCUAAUAAUUUUACAUCUUCACUCAAGGUGAUUAUUCGAGAGUGAUAUGUCUGCAUGAUUGUAAAAAUCCUACUAGGUUCGGCCAGGACAGUGUGGCUAUUUGCAAGUUGAGAUUUAGAAUGCUCUAACUCCGAGUUUGUCUUCUUCACUUCUUCGAUUUGAUUUUCGAGGGUGUCAAGAAGAGUUGCUUGCUCAGCCUUGAGAACAACCAGUUGUUCCUCUAGUUUUUGGAUUUCAGAAGUCACCAUUCCAAUCCUUUCUUUUGUUAAUGAACCAUCAUUCAUCAACUUUUCUACCUGAGUAGAAAUACUUGAUUCUUUCUCCUGGAAACAUCUUACAUGAUUGGCUUGUCUUUCUGCUCUCUUAUGUUGGUCCCGAAGAGCCCUCAAAUUCUCAAAGAAAGAGAGAAAGGAAUCAUGUUGGGUUUUUGAUAGUUGGCGGGCUUUCAAAAGCUCACUCGUAACCUUUUCCAGAUCAUAAAGAGCCUUAAGGCUAAAUGAAGCGGAGAAAUCCUUCCUUGCCCAUUCUUGGAAAACUCGAUUCUGCUCUGGAAAACCUGAAAGUGAAGAAUGCUUCGAAGAUUUCAACCUUGUCUCAAGCUACCCGAAUUCUUCAAACAGUUCGAGCAACUUAGCAGUUUUUGAAAAUGGAGAAGCAGGAGGGGGAUUUCGCACUCCAGUUUCCUCUAAGGAGGUAGUGCCUACUGAUGAGGCAGUUUUUAGCUCCCCGGCCUUCUCAAUUCCAGGAUGAACAAUCCCGGCACUCCCAAUAGUUAAAUGAGGUCGGGGGAGCUUUGACUUACAAACCAAGCGAGGAGGAGAAGUUUCUUCAAGAACUUGCUGCAAAGACCAAAAGAAUAUCAAAUUGUGAAAUAUACAGUUUGAAGUGAAGGGAAGUUUUGGGAGGAAGAAAUAUACCUGACUAAGCCUUGAAGCCUCACAAGGAAGAGUACCAAUUCCUGGUUGAGGAGAAGACUCCCUACCACUGACAGGGGAAGAAAAAACUGCACCUGAACCUUAACCAAUACCCUGGAAGUGCCCAGGAAUGGCAGCAAUUGUUAGUAAACAGAUGGUAAGAGAAGAACAGGAAGAAAAUAUCUCCUUACCAAAGUUCGACCCUGAGGAGAUGAAGGAGGUUUAUCAAGGGUAACUGUCGGGCAGGCAAACACAUGCAAAGUAGUUGCUUCUGAAGUCACAGGAAUCUCAGGGACUAUGGGUUCAUCACUUGUUGCCACUAAUGAAUGUUGUAUUGAAGAAGGUUGAGGAAGAGGUAAAUAGAGUUAAUAUCCAAACAAUGUAUGGGAAAUCAAUGUAAGGAUGGUUACUCACCAAAUUAUUGUCCUCAUCCACGAAGUGCAACAUUACUCCCUUGGAUGGAUCAAAUUGAGAAGAUGGAGUUGCCUUCAGGACAGAAGGAGAAAUCAAAGGAGAACCUUGACUAGGGGAAGGGGCAGAUACCCCGACCUGGAUGAAGACAGAAGAAGGAAAAAGAUCAGGCAUUAGCCCCAUAAAUUAUAAAAGUUACCUAAGGUUUAAGAAGAAAUGGAGUAUACCUCCGAAGGACUAACCCGGGGGGGGAGAAAGGUUUGUUUCUUAGGCAAGUGGUGAAGAAACCUCGGGCGGAUGGAGCUUUUCCUUUCUUGCAGCCUGACUCAAGUAAUCAUGCUCAGGAUUUUUGUGAAAACAGGAAAGACUAUGCAGACAUAAAAGUAAACUAUACCUCAAGUUCUUUAAGGGUGAGGUUUCGUAAUUCUUCAGCCUUUUUAUACAUUUCAGCUCCUAAUGGUUCAUCCUUGGAAGCAAUGGUUGGUUUCUUUGAUGCUUGAGGUCUUGUGUUCAAGAAAAACAUAGGUAACUAGAUAAAGAAGAAAGGUGGCAACCUGACAAAAAAAAAAAAAAAAAAAAAAAAAGAACACAACUGACUUGAAGAUUUUUGCUUUUUUCUGCCUGCCUCAGAAAUUGGAGCAGGUGGGUCUGAAGACUUGAGAGUUGGACGGUUCUGGUUCUCUUACUCUUUCUAGUAGGAGUAGGAAUUCGUCGUUUAGUCUUGGGUGGGGAUGCAGGAUCAGAAUCUGAGUUCUCAAUCACAACUGCUUUCCUUCGCUUAGACACUUGGAUGGUGGCUUCAGGCGCUUCUUUUUCAGCUCCUGAAUCUUCUGAAACAUCCCCACCUUCUCCAGCUUCUCGCCUUUCAGCCUCCGCCGCAGCUCCAUAAAGAACUGCUGCAUCAACUGAGUCAUCCUCGGACUCAGUAGGUAUUGAUUCAACAUCCACUUGGGCUGCAAGGUUAAGUGGGGAAAAAGUUAAAAGGGAUCAAGAGAAGGGUUACGAAAUCAAGAUAAAAAGAAGAAAUACCUAUCAGAAGAACCUGAUUCUUCUCUUGAAUCAUCUCCUUCCAAUUUUCAAGUUCGCCCGAACUGGGAUAUGAUUUAAGAGAAAGUUGACUGAAAAGGCGAUCAUGAGUCUCUCUCAAAUCUCCUCCAUAUUUCUUGGUCCAUUUGUCUUCCCACCAAGAAGAAAAGAGUGAAGUGCAUUCAAAAUUAAGGAUGAUGGACUUUCGGGCAGCCUGACUCAUGACUUCAAGACUGCGUCGGGCAGCUCUAAAGGUCGCCUCAGAGGGAGAUACUAAACGAAAGGAAGUGCCACAAUGAACAGAAUCAAAAAAUGGGAUGGGGAUGGUUUGCCUAAAGCCUAAUUACCUGCUGCAAAAGUUAGGGUGAUACACCUUCAACCCUCGAUCGUAUCGAUUGCCCCGAACUCCCAGGCCAUGUCUCUCGAUUGAAUGCAACUAAUAAAUUUUUCCCUACAAGAGGAGGUGGCAUCUUCUCCAGGAGCAUCUUGAAAGGCCUGGUCAGAGAACCAAGGAUAUCUUCUCAAGACUGACGCACCCCAUUCCAGGUAUGAUCGAGUCCUACAAACCUUAAAGAAAUAAAAGCAGGCGAAGGUGGAGUGAUCAGUAGGAGCAGUUUCGGCUAGGAUUCGGGCGAGGGCCACACCUUCUGGGAACUCUAAAUUGGCAGCCCGAAACUCUGGAAAGUACCAUUGAAGCCAUGUUUGUAUCAUCCAUAUGGGUCCAUUCAGGUUAGUCUCAAAUGGCUCACCUUAAGUCAUUUCGAAGAGAAGAUGGUAAAGAUGAGAAAGAAUGAAUGGACCUGUUGCUACAUCAUCGAAGUUAUGAAGAGUUUCCACCAAGGGGAUCCAUUCAACCUUCACUCCUUUAGAUUUAUUAGGGAAGAUAUGUUUGUUGAGCCAGUAUAAGAGGAAAUACAUGUGCUCUUGAUCUCUAUCAGCACGGGAAGAACUUGCUCCAAAAUUUUCUUUUACAAAAGGGAUGAAUCCCUUGAACAAGGUCUCGUAACUCUUGAAGGUUGUAGAGUUAUAUUCCAAGGAGAGGAAGGAUGUGGAUGAACCUGAGCUUUCAGCAAUUUAGGGGAGAGCCCAGUCUUGAGUAACGUCUACUAUCCUGACCGAUGGCCUUAACCCGAAGACUUGAGCCAUAUCUAGAAUAGUCGGAGACAUGGGACCCAUGUGAAAGUCAAAAGUGUUUUUGCCCGAAUUCCAGAAAAGAAGAGAAGAAGCAAGCAGUUCGAGCUUGGGAAUAAUGGUGGUUUUUUGGAGCAUUAUCAACUCGUAAAUGCCAUUAUUCAUCCAUUUCUUCUUAAAAGUUGGCUCUAGUUCGUCAAUCCAUUGAGCCCAAGCCGGAUCAUUCAUCAAUGGAAAGCCUCGGCGAUAUGACGACCACUUAGAUGAGGAAAUGCCCGACUUAGCCAAAAGGGGAUUUGGAGAAAACCAGUUAUCCUUGGGCAUAUUGUCCUCUAUCACUGCAGGGACCCGAGAAAUCCAUACGGGACCCAACGAUUGUACCCCAUGUACUUCAAAGAAAAGCUCAGAAUACAAACCUGCUCGAGGGAGAUGCAGGCCGUUGAGUAAACGGCGCAAAGUGGCGAUGCCUUCGCCAAAUUCGUAUGAUAGUUGGAUUUGGCUGGAUCCUGAAGCCAUUUGAUGAAGUUUGGAAAUGGAACGGCAAGGAAGAUGACAAGGAUAGAAGGUGUCGGGCAAAAGGCAGCAGAGAAUUUGAAAGAUUUAGAAAAGGAAAAAAUGACUGAGGAGUUAGAAAGUUUUUUAUUACAAAGAUAAGAAGAAUACAGAAGAUUCGGAAGUGAUGGAAUAACCGAAGAAAUGCGGUGAUUGCUUUUGAAAAUUGUGCAAAUUCUGGGAACGAAAGACGUGGGUAUUAAUAGAGACCUAUUCAAUCAAUAUUGGCGCCUGGAAUUCCAGUCUGAAUAUUGAUUGAAGGGGGCACUGUUUGGGUUAAAACUUAAACUUUGGGCUUAGAAGGGAGUUGGCCCAAAAAGAGGAGAAAAGCCCGAAGCACAGCCCAAGCCCAGAAGGCAGAAAAGGGCUUUCCAAACUAGGUGCAGAUCAUUUGCACCACUUGCUCACCUACCCAAGGGCCAAGUGGUAUAGACCAGCCAGCUAAUCAGCCCAAAAGUACUUUAUAGUGGCAGUACAAGUAAAUAGUUGAUGAGUCACUAUCCUUCAAAACUGCAUUCGGGCAAUAUUAUUGCUACAGGAGGCCAAGCCAAGGUGUCUAUAAAAGGAGA